rnacentral:tRNA from 1 species
CAAGAAAUAAUUUAUUUAGAAUAUUAAUUUUGGGGAUUAAGUGUAUAAUUUAGGUUAUUUUCUUGA